rnacentral:tRNA from 2 species
GCGGGAAUAGCUCAGUGGUAGAGCAUCGCCUUGCCAAGGCGAGGGUCGCGAGUUCAAGUCUCGUUUCCCGCUCCA